rnacentral:rRNA from 1 species
UCGGAGAGUUUGAUUCUGGCUCAGAACGAACGCUGGCGGCGUGGAUAAGACAUGCAAGUCGAACGGGAAACAUUUGAUAGUAAUAUUGGAUGUUUCUAGUGGCGAAAGGGUGCGUAACACGUGGGUAAUCUACCGUAAAGUUGGGAAUAACUUCGAGAAAUCGAUGCUAAUACCGGAUGUGAUUUAUUUGGGACAUCCCGAAUAAAUUAAAGCUGGGGACCUUCGGGCCUGGCGCUUUACGAUGAGCCCGCGGCCUAUCAGCUUGUUGGUAAGGUAACGGCUUACCAAGGCUAAGACGGGUAGCCGGUCUGAGAGGAUGGUCGGCCACACUGGAACUGAGACACGGUCCAGAC